UUGUCAAAGAGGCAGCUGCUGGUCGUCCUUUAGCCGAGGCUUUCAUUUCCGAUUGUGAAAGAACUUGGGGGUAAGGAAAACGUGUCUCACAAAAAAGGAAGAGGUACGGUGAUGACAGUGAAGACACCAGUCCGCCUACAGUUGUUACGGCAACCAGAACAAGUUCCGUCAUCAACAUUAUUCAAAGUAGCAAGAGUGGCGAACCAAAGGGCCACAGCAGCGCAAACAGUAUAGAAUUUCAAUAUUUGUCGGAUGAUGACGUGCCUCCAUCUUCACAAACAACGCUGGCCGAAAAACUUCAGUGGAAGGCAGUUCCUCGCGGCGACGAUAGACGGCCUGGUCUCUCAAUAUUUAUGAACCUCAUUUCAGUUCUAGGAGUCGUUGCGAACGCAAAGGCGCGACAAAAAAACGAAGAAAAUAUUGAGAUUGACUGUUUAUUGGAACAGAUAAAGACGUGCAGAAAGAAAAGUGGAGAAAAAUACCGCGAAGAAAGAAGCAUAACACCCGUUGAAGCUCAGGCAGCUAGGUCUUCGCGCAA